ensembl:lncRNA
GUGUGGAGACAAUAAUAUUCUAUCUCACUCCCUUGGAAACUUGGAAUAUGUAAAAUAAAAUGGCUUUCCAUAAAAUGUGUGUCUACACAACUGAAAUGAAAGCUAUGCCAGCCCUCUGCCGUCCAAGCCAGCCACACUGUUCCAGUUACCGUAAAUAGUUGCGUCUGCUUCCUCCGUUUUAAUGAGGGCUUUCUUACCUAUCGACACACAGAUGGAGAGCCGACAGCAUCCUAAAAGCCCGCCACUAUGCCAAAGCCAAUAUAACGGGGAUUGUAUGCAAGCUGCCCCUUCGGGGAAGAUGAACCCAGACAAGCAAUUUGAGGACUCUACGUUGCCCCACUUCCCCUCACCUUCCCAAGAAAAGAUCAAUAAAGUAUCAUUUGGCACUGGCUAAUUCUUUCAACCCAUCAGGUUGAAACUGGCCUGUCCUUUUAUAAAUGAGCUGCUCCCUUGACCGUAUUGUGAGAAACAGAGGGAGGCUUGAGUCAAUGGGAAUUUAGUGAAAUCCUGCAGACGCA